AUGAACGCUGGCGGCGUGCCUAAUACAUGCCAGUCGAGCGAACAGAUGAGGAGCUUGCUCCUCUGACGUUAGCGGCGGACGGGUGAGUAACACGUGGAUAACCUACCUAUAAGACUGGGAUAACUUCGGGAAACCGGAGCUAAUACCGGAUAAUAUAUUGAACCGCAUGGUUCAAUAGUGAAAGACGGUUUUGCUGUCACUUAUAGAUGGAUCCGCGCCGCAUUAGCUAGUUGGUAAGGUAACGGCUUACCAAGGCAACGAUGCGUAGCCGACCUGAGAGGGGGAUCGGCCACACUGGAACUGAGACACGGUCCAGACUCCGACGGGAGGCAGCAGUAGGGAAUCUGCCGCAAUGGGCGAAAGCCUGACGGAGCAACGCCGCGGGAGUGAUGAAGGUCUGCGGAUCGUAAAACUCUGUUAUUAGGGAAGAACAAAUGUGUAAGUAACGAUGCACGUCUUGACGGUACCGAAUCAGAAAGCCACGGCUAACUACGU
rnacentral:rRNA from 1 species